rnacentral:rRNA from 1 species
UUGUAGCAAUACAGAUUGAUGGCGACCGGCGCACGGGUGAGUAACGCGUAUGCAACUUACCUAUCAGAGGGGGAUAGCCCGGCGAAAGUCGGAUUAAUACCCCAUAAAACAGGGGUCCCGCAUGGGAACAUUUGUUAAAGAUUCACCGCUGAUAGAUAGGCAUGCGUUCCAUUAGGCAGUUGGCGGGGUAACGGCCCACCAAACCGACGAUGGAUAGGGGUUCUGAGAGGAAGGUCCCCCACAUUGGUACUGAGACACGGACCAAACUCCUACGGGAGGCAGCAGUGAGGAAUAUUGGUCAAUGGCCGAGAGGCUGAACCAGCCAAGUCGCGUGAAGGAAGAAGGAUCUAUGGUUUGUAAACUUCUUUUAUAGGGGAAUAAAGUGGAGGACGUGUCCUUUUUUGUAUGUACCCUAUGAAUAAGCAUCGGCUAACUCCGUGCCAGCAGCCGCGGUAAUACGGAGGAUGCGAGCGUUAUCCGGAUUUAUUGGGUUUAAAGGGUGCGUAGGUGGUGAUUUAAGUCAGCGGUGAAAGUUUGUGGCUCAACCAUAAAAUUGCCGUUGAAACUGGGUUACUUGAGUGUGUUUGAGGUAGGCGGAAUGCGUGGUGUAGCGGUGAAAUGCAUAGAUAUCACGCAGAACUCCGAUUGCGACGGCAGCUUACUAAACCAUAACUGACACUGAAGCACGAAAGCGUGGGGAUCAAACAGG